rnacentral:lncRNA from 1 species
UUUAUGCUUUAAAAUUAAAUUUUUAAUAGAAUAUUUGUGCUUAAAUGAUUGAUUUGUAGAGGAUUUGUAAUUAUUGGAUUUAGAGUAUUUGGAAAUAAAAAGGGCUUAAAAAAUGAUUUUAAUUGCAUAAAUUAUUCUUAGAUAUUCUAAUAUUUAUUUGUGCAGCUGAAGUUAGAGUUUUAUUGGUCCAAAUUACAAAUUAAAGCCCAAAAUCAGGUUUUGUUUGGAAAAUAAUGUACAGCUGGGCCAAACAGGCAGUUUUUACCCUUGCACUCCCAGAUUUCUCUACAUGCACCCCCCAGUUUUAAACCAGGCCAACAACCAAGCCCAAACACUAAACCUUUUCUCCUACACCUCAUAAAUUUUCCUACCCAUACCCCUCCUAUCACUAACUAAGUCAGAUUGCCUAAGAUGGUGCCACAUGGCAGUCCAUAAAUAAUAGAUCCAACCAUCCAGAUGAUGCCAUGUCACUAAUCCCUACACUCACCAUCGCACCUCGCAUCUCUGCAAUCAAUCCAGUUCAUCUUCAUCACCUGCAACCCAGAUCGCGGAUUCCAUCAUCUCACCGUCAUCACGAAUCGCACAUCAACACCAUCUUCUUCCUCGAAAUCGCGCCACCACCAGCCACACUUCUCGCCGUCACCAUCUUCUUCGCACUGCUAACGCCUUCUUUGGACCACCAUCAGAUCGCGAAUCGAAGCGAAAUCCUCCGCCACCAUCAGAAACCGAAUUCGCACCAUGGCCGUCGCGACUCCACCAUUUUCGCACUUCCGCCGCGCCACCUUGAUGCGCAUUGAAGAAAUCUCCUCCAUCACCGCAUCAGAACCUGCAUCAAAACCAGACCUGCAAUAAACCCAGCAAUAAGCAGAAACAAUCGCGCCUUGAAGAGACCACGCGAGUUCUUCACUCUCUCCAUGACGGCGCAGUGCAGGGGAAGCAACAAGGUUUUUUUUCCAAAUCUGAAAACCCUAAUUUGGGUAGAAAGGGAGCAGACACGUGGCAGCAUCUCAUUGGCGUGUCAUUUCUCAGUC